rnacentral:rRNA from 1 species
GGGGGGGGGGGGGGGGGGGGGGGGCGCGGGGGGGGCGGGCGGAGAGGCGCGGCUUUGGGGGGGUGCUCGAGUGGCGAACGGGUGAGUAACACGUGAGUAGCCUGCCCUUGACGUUGGGAUAACUUCGGGAGACUGGGGCUAAUACCGGGUAUGAGCUCCUGCUGCAUGGUGGGGGUUGGAACGUUUCGGCGGUUGGGGCUGGACUCGCGGCUUAUCAGCUUGUUGGUGGGGUAGUGGAUUACCAAGGCUUUGACGGGUAGCCGGCCUGAGAGGGUGACCGGCCACAUUGGGACUGAGAUACGGCCCAGACUCCUACGGGAGGCAGCAGUGGGGAAUAUUGCACAAUGGGCGGAAGCCUGAUGCAGCAACGCCGCGUGCGGGAUGACGGCCUUCGGGUUGUAAACCGCUUUCGCCUGUGACGAAGCGUGAGUGACGGUAAUGGGUAAAGAAGCACCGGCUAACUACGUG